UACGGAGGGAGCUAGCGUUAUUCGGAAUUACUGGGCGUAAAGCGCACGUAGGCGGCUUUGUAAGUUAGAGGUGAAAGCCUGGAGCUCAACUCCAGAACUGCCUUUAAGACUGCAUCGCUUGAAUCCAGGAGAGGUGAGUGGAAUUCCGAGUGUAGAGGUGAAAUUCGUAGAUAUUCGGAAGAACACCAGUGGCGAAGGCGGCUCACUGGACUGGUAUUGACGCUGAGGCGCGAAAGCGUGGGGAGCAAACAGGG
rnacentral:rRNA from 1 species